UGGAUCAGAGCUUGGCGUUGUGUUGGAGUUGGUGUUGGCAUUGGGGUUGGUGUUCCAAAUGGUGGUGGUGUUGCUGCUGCUUGCGAUGAGCUACUACUUGGACUCACCAUUUUAAAGCUCCAACAAUAAUCUGUUCAACAAUCAAAAUGCAACAUAUAUUUAGAUUUCACCAGAUCCAAUUGGGGGUGGAAGCUUUUGCUCUGAAUCAACUCACUAUCACUGAGUCACGACUGGACUGCUGGAGGGGAGCUAGGACCGGGAUCCAUGCCUACCUAAACCUGAGGCUGUGAGUCGAGGGCGGGGAUCUGCUCGAGCUCGACUGCUCCGGUGCUCUAGGUGGCCGUCGACCGGGGUCUGGAUGCGGGACCACCGUUGGGAUUGGGGCUAGGAGGAUGGGACUAGGAGCGGUGGCCUACAGGCCAG
rnacentral:lncRNA from 1 species